rnacentral:lncRNA from 1 species
UUGUUUUGGAAUUGGUGUGUUAUGGCAGGGAGUGAAAGGGUGUUUGUUUGAUAAGAAAAUUUUGACAGUGGGCGAGGUAUUGUUUCGAUCCAAACUAAGAGUCCUUCACUAGUCACUACAAAAUUAGGAAUCACUUUUACCAACAUCUAUAAGCGCCGGUAAAAAAACAUAAAAACUGCCGAUAUUAACUUUGCCGGCUAGGUAGGUGGCAAUAAAACAAUUCCAACGGACUGACCACAAUGUCGACAAAAUGAAAACUUUUACUGGCAUAAACUUUUCAGACACUUUUAACUCCAUUAUAAAUAAUGUAAUACCCGCAUUUUGCCCAGGCCAUAUGGAAACCAAAAUCAACAAUAAAACAAAAAAUGUAAAUUAAAACAGUCCAAGUCUAGUUACACCAGGCCCAAAGAUAAGAAUAAAAUCAACCCAAUUACAUAAAAUAACCCAAAUAACUUUGAUCCAAAUUCUAAGCCUGAUUGUUAAGCCCAAUACCCAUGGUUCAAAACCUAAACGAUCAGCCAACCUAGGAAACCCUAGGUCACCCACGCCGCAACCUACACUGCAGCUCCCACGCACGUAGCACAUCCCACGCCCAUUUCUCCUCCACAUCUUCGCAACUUGCGACGUGAGCAAGGGAAUAGCAAGAAACCGUUGUAUCUUUGGGCUAUAAAAAGCCACGAAUAUUCAUUGUUUUUUUGGUGACGGGAUUGAAUACAAAAUACAAACAAAAAAAUCAGUAAAGAGCAACCAAAAGAAUACUUUAAAGGUGGUUAUUUAUCGCUAUUUUAUUCUAUUUUAUUCUUUUUUUUUCCAUUUUCAUCCGAUUCCACGAUACAUAUACUAAAAUAUAUAAGAGAGAGAGGGAGACUCACCGAAGUCGCAUCGCGCUCACGCCGUUGGAGGGCUUAACUCCGUUCAUCGCAGUUGGAUUUCGACAGCUUUUGAGGCUUAGCCCUUCGGCUGGAGAACAAGGGGAAAGUGAGGGAGUAGAGAAUAUUAUAGGGCUUUUGGGGUUUCUUUUCUAAAAACAAAGCUGAAAAUGUUUUUAAAACAAAAAAAAAAUGGUUUAAAUAGUGAUGCGUGAUAUUCGUAACAGGUUUUAAAGAUUUAUAAAUGAAUCGUUCUUGAGACUAACUUAUUAUCACGAUUAAGGCAAGUGUACCUAUCGAGUAGUAGUAUAGUUUAGCAAGACUGG